GAUGAACGCUGGCGGCGUGCCUAAUACAUGCAAGUCGAGCGAACGGACUAGAAGCUUGCUUCUCUGAUGUUAGCGGCGGACGGGUGAGUAACACGUGGAUAACCUACCUAUAAGACUUGGAUAACUUCGGGAAACCGUAGCUAAUACCGGAUAAUAUUUUGAACCGCAUGGUUCAAAAGUGAAAGACGGUCUUGCUGUCACUUAUAGAUGGAUCCGCGCUGCAUUAGCUAGUUGGUAAGGUAACGGCUUACCAAGGCAACGAUGCAUAGCCGACCUGAGAGGGUGAUCGGCCACACUGGAACUGAGACACGGUCCAGACUCCUACGGGAGGCAGCAGUAGGGAAUCUUCCGCAAUGGGCGAAAGCCUGACGGAGCAACGCCGCGUGAGUGAUGAAGGUCUUCGGAUCGUAAAACUCUGUUAUUAGGGAAGAACAUAUGUGUAAGUAACUGUGCACAUCUUGACGGUACCUAAUCAGAAAGCCACGGCUAACUACGUG
rnacentral:rRNA from 1 species